rfam:Mus musculus chromosome 7, GRC primary reference assembly.
CAAUAGACUUUUUUAAAAGUCAAACUUAUAAAUUUAAACAAAUAAU